UACAGAGGGUGCGAGCGUUAAUCGGAAUUACUGGGCGUAAAGCGUGCGUAGACGGUUAUUUAAGUCGGAUGUGAAAGCCCCGGGCUCAACCUGGGAAUUGCAUUCGAGACUGAAUAGCUAGGGUGCGGUAGAGGGAAGCGGAAUUUCCGGUGUAGCGGUGAAAUGCGUAGAUAUCGGAAGGAACAUCAGUGGCGAAGGCGGCUAUCUGGACAGAGUCUGACGCUGAGGCGCGAAAGCUAGGGGAGCAAACAGG
rnacentral:rRNA from 1 species